UACGUAGGGGGCAAGCGUUGUCCGGAAUUAUUGGGCGUAAAGAGCUCGUAGGCGGUCCGUCACGUCGGCUGUGAAAACCCGAGGCUCAACCUCGGGCCUGCAGUCGAUACGGGCAGACUAGAGUGCGGUAGGGGAGACUGGAAUUCCUGGUGUAGCGGUGAAAUGCGCAGAUAUCAGGAGGAACACCGGUGGCGAAGGCGGGUCUCUGGGCCGUAACUGACGCUGAGGAGCGAAAGCGUGGGGAGCGAACAGG
rnacentral:rRNA from 1 species